rnacentral:misc_RNA from 1 species
CUUUAGGAGGACCCCACCCUCAGAAAAGACAGCGGAUCUUCUUCCAAAAACAAGUGUCACUGAGCGUGUUUUCAAAGACAGAUUCGUGGUAAAGGUUAAAAGAGAAUGUCGGAACCACAAGAGAAGGUUGACAUAAGUGCCCUCAAAGACACAUUCCUGGAAUGCCCCGUGUGUGUGGAACAUUUCAACCAGACAGACCGCCGUCCUCGUCUCCUCCACUCCUGCCUCCAUGCCUUCUGCACACAGUGUCUUCAGCAGCUUCUUGACAAGGAGGGGAAAGGUCAGAUCACAUGUCCGCUAUGUCGUCAAGUCCACAAGAUCCCAGGAGAGCCUGGCACUUUGCCCGUGGAUCCGGUCAGAGCAAAACUUGUAGAUUUUGUGCAGAUCAAAAACGAAGGAAAAGCUCCAUGCACAGACUGCCCCGCAGGAAGCCCAGCAGAGUCAAGGUGCCAGGAGUGUUCUGUAUAUCUGUGUAAGGAAUGCGCAUAUGUACACAGACGUCAUCGACUGACUCAUGACCAUCCCGUCAUAUCCCUGAGUGGAGUGCUAGAACAGCCUCUGAACACAUUCGCCCAGGGUCACUUCUGCACUCAUCAUCCAAAACACCAGCUGGAGUUCUUUUGUGCUAGUGAUGAAACGCUGUGUUGCCUUUCUUGCACAGUUGUGGAACAUAAGGGCCACGACUUCCAGAAACUAGAUGAAGCAGCUAAGAAACGACAAACGGAAUUGGAAGCAUCGAUGCUGGCCGUCAACGUAAAUGUCCAACAACUGCGUCAGAGGCGACUGUCUGAAGAAAGACGUCAAACUGCUAUCGCGGAGGCCCAGGCAAAGGCCAAAUCCGAUGUGAACACACACUUUACAAGACUGAUACGCAUAAUCAAUGAAAGAAAGUCACAUCUGGUCCGGGAUAUCGACGAAAGAAGUAGUACAAUGUUGUCUCUGUCUAAGAAAGAAGUAGAAGCGAUAGACCAAACUCUUGCUGUUGCGGAGUCAACUGAAACGUACUUCACUCAAGCCAAGGAGAAGGCUGGUGUUGUGGAAAUUCUUCAGAUGUAUCCUGCCAUCAAGAGAAGUUUGGAUGCAGCAGCCGAUGGGCAAGGUCGGUCGACAAACGGCACCGGAAGUUGUGAUGACAUUUACUCUCACAAAUGGAAAUAUUGUCGAAAAAUUGGGAUCAGAAGUAGGUUGCGUGAGCGAGUCUACUGAGACUCAGAAAGAAAAUGAUCAACUUCUACUGUCUUUAGAUGAAGUAUUUGAUGCUGCUUUGAAAUACAAAAGCAAGAAGAAACUUAUGAAACAUUGUGAAGAGAAGUCUUACUCCAAUGAAAGAGAAACGUGCGCUAUCUGUGAGAAUCAUAUCGAAGAUGCAAAGAGGAUACGGUGCGGGCACCGUUUCUGUAAGGGCUGCAUUGACCAGGUGCUCAGUAGGCAACCAAAUUGCCCUGUGUGUUGCAAAGUUCGAUAUCCGGUUUCAUCGUUUUCCGAACUUGUGGACCCUAACGACUGUGAUGAUGACGAACAGUAUCAGGCAAGUUUUAUAGUACUAUUGCUUCAGUGUAUUCUCAUUUAACAGCAUGUGUUAGUUAGACUUUCACCUUUAAUGACAGAUGUUACAGAAAAUCAAUUAUUUCUUGUACCACUCUCUCACCUAAAAAAGAGAAGUUAUUAUCCAUAAAACUGGUCUUGAUAGUACUCCCCAACUUCUAAAAACCUCCCCAAAGAAGCCUUUCAGCUUGUUUAACUUGUUCUGUUGGUAUUCACCGGGACUGCAUUUCAAGUCCACAGAUGUUUAUCAUAUUUAUUGGUAAGCUCUAUAAGAAAAUGGAAAAAGGAGUGUGAGAAGGAAGUUUCAUAAAUCAGUUCUUUACUAACUUGUGUACACUGAUGUUUGCUGAUAAUAUUUCUGCUGUUUGUCACAACUGUAUUGUAAUUU